rnacentral:tRNA from 2 species
GGAAGAGUGGCAGAGUGGUCGAAUGCAUCUGAUUCGAAAUCAGAAGUUCUCUUAAAGGAACCGGGGGUUCGAAUCCCUUCUCUUCCGUCA